AUCCGGAUGACGAGUCCCAAAUAGGACGAAACGCUUGUCCUGAAU
rnacentral:hammerhead_ribozyme from 1 species